rnacentral:lncRNA from 1 species
GUAUGUUCGUUCUUAAGCUCUAAGAAGGCAAACAAAGUUACGAGCUAUAUCCUCCCACUCAUUCAUGAAAUCACUACCAACUACAGCUAUUUCAACUAGAGACAUAAUGUAAACACUGGUUGAUUUCUAGGUCUAUUAACUCCCAAUGGAUCGAUGGCAAUUUAAAAAUAAUGACAAAGCAAUGUCUUACCAAAACUGACCUCAGCUGCAACAAUGGAUCUCAAGUCUAAAUGGACUAGUUUAGAAGCUGUAGGAUUUAUCUUUACAAAAGUGUGGACAUUGCCCCAAUAAGACCAAGUCCAUACACGAGAAAAGACAAAUUUUUUUGCAAAAAAUGAUGAAAAUAAAAUUUUAGGGUGAAACGAGCUCUAUUGCGGGAAAUAUUGAAAGCUUGGGAAGAAAAUAGAUUUCAAACACCAAAUUUAAUAAAGAAAUGCCAAAAUUUGGCUAGAAAAUUAAGGGCAAUCGGGAUUCUUUUUGGCAAAAAUGGCUUUUGACAAUGAAGCUUCUUGGAGACGUUUUUGAUUAGAUAUUUUUUUUCUUUUGCUUUUAUUUUUUAAAAAUGAUUAUUAAGUGUAGGGUAUUAAAUGAAUGAUGUUGGGAAGGGGCUUCUUGUAUUAUUAUAAAUUUUUGGAUAAAAAAUGUAUAAGGACAGGGUGAUGUCAUAAUAGGUGUGUAUCCGUAAUACUUUAAAACUUGUGUCUAAAUUCCUAAUUGAGUUUGGAGAGUGAGUUUAUAGCAAACUUGAUCACCUUUCUGUGCAAUCACUAGCCCAAAUCUAAUAGUACAAGCCAAGAGUGUUUUGUACGGAAAUAAAAUAGCUAAAAUAACAUAAACAUACAACUUAACUUAUCAUAUUUACACAAAUUCUCACCCUUGUAAAGUAAUUACAAAAUUUUUAGCUAAUUAUGUAUCUUCAUUGGAUGUAUCCGGGAGCUAAUUAUGUAUCUCGAUAGACCUAAAAUCUAAAAAUAAUAUAUCGGGGGCUAAUUAUGCAUUUUUUAUAAGGAAAAAAUGUAUCUUUGUUAAUGCAUUAUGUAUCUCGACAAACCCAAAAUCAGAAAAAAUAUAUCGAAAGCUAAUUACGCAUCUUUAUAAAGGAAAAAAUGUAUCUUCGUUGGAUGUAUCAGGACCUAAUUAUGUAUCUCGACAGACUUAAAAUUAGAAUUUCAGGAAUUAUACAAAAUAUCGAGAUAUUUUGUAAUUAAACUCCAAAAUAUUGACAUUUAUAUUGUUUGCCCGACAAAAUAUCGUUAAAAUUUUCUAUGUUUAUUUGAUUAAAAAUUUAGAGAAUAUUUUGUCUAAGAAAACAAGACUUUUGAAGUAGGAAAAAAAAUUCCACGAAUGAAAUUCCACGUUAAUCGUCUCUUCCCCAUCCUUCAAUACACCCACACUCAACCCCACUCCUCUAGCCCCUAUUGUCAUCCCCACAUAGUGUUUACCUCAAUUAUAUAAAAUAUUUUUAAGACAAUGUUUUUUUACUUAAUUAUCAAUUAUCGUAUUUCAAAAAAUAAAUUAAAAACCUCCUUGCUGGAACAAUUGUUUAAUCUAGCCUAAAAAAUGGUAAAAUGAUUUAACCAAAUUUUAAUAUAAGGGGGCGCAAAUGUGCUGUAUCAUUAACCUAGUGAACUGAUUGAUCUGAAAAUGCAAUAGCCUCUCACCAAAAUGCUUUUCAAAAAUAUAUCAUAAAAAUAGUCUAAGUUUUACAUUUUAAAAAAAUCUGAAAUUUCUAACUUAAAACUGAAAUCCUACCUAAGUGAAUUUAGAAUUUGAAAUUCAAGUUCUAGUCAAAUGUCAGAAACAAGCACAAAACUUCAAAUUGAAAGUCCAAAAUGCAUGGACAAACGGUCCCAAAAUAAAUUAUCAACAUUUCCACGAGAUAAAAAAAGAAAAAAGAAAGAGAAACGAGUUCAAAAGCAAGAUGUAUAUAUGCAUAUUAUCAGCGUAUGAGCCUUUAAUUUCUGUAAUAACUUAUACUCCCCACAGUUUAUUUCUAUACAUAUGCAGAGCAAUUAUUCAACAUAUUUUUAAUUUGUUGAAGAAAAAGAGGACAAGAGAAAGAAAAAUGUUAUAUCAAAGGGUACUAUCUCAAUGACUUGUGAUGGUUGGAAGGAACGAUCUUGAUGACAAGUCCAGGGAAAACAUCAUCAGGAUCGUGAAUAUGUGGAUUUCUCUCAACAAUAUAAGGAUCACCACACUUGUCACUUAUAGUAUGUAACGUUUCCCCUUCUCCAACAACAUAAAUUUCGUCACACGGUCGAUGAGACAUCAACAUCUGACUUCCUCUUACUACAUAUUCCAAAUUCCUAAGGUUAUUUUCCCUAACAGAGCUCAUUAAGACAAUUGCCAUGAAGCUAACUGCACAUAACCAUGAAGCUACAUCGGCUAUUAAUAUUGAAGUUUUAAUUUUGGAUGUGUUUUUAUUGGAUAGUAAAGCCCUCAUGUGGAAAAAAAGAGAAGAUAGAUACUGAUUUGAUAUCGUGUAUAAAGAUGGUGGAGAGAUUUGUAUUUAUACGGAUAUUGGUGAUAGUUUUUUUUUUUGUGUGUGUGUGGGGUGGGUGGGGGUGGGGGUGUUAGGUUGAUGAAGACUUUUGAUAUAUUAGUUUUGAAUUAGGCAAGUUGAGUUGAACUACAAUUUGGCAUGUACUUAUUAUAUGCCCACCAAAUUAUGCUAGACCGUUAUGAAAACUUGAUUAGGCAAGAGAAAAAGACAUUUUUU